rnacentral:rRNA from 1 species
AGGUAGUAAAACUUUAUUACUAAAACCUAUCUAUCUUGGCGGCAUUUCAUCUGUUUAGAGGAAUUUGUUAAUUAAUCGAUAAUCCACGAUAAUUUUUACUUUAACCUAAAAUUUAUAUACCGCCAUCUAAAGAGUUAAUUUUAGAAUUAACUCUUUUAAACAAAUAAAAAGUUAGGUCAAGGUGUAGUCAACGUUAAAGAUUUAAAUGAAUUACUUUAAAUAUUAUUUAAGGAAAAUUUUGUAAAAACACUUUUCGAAAAAGGAUUUAAUAGUAAGAUUGAAAUAAUAAUUCAAUUUAAAUCAGAUAAUAAAUGUGU